AGGAGCCUGGAGCAAGCGUGUGGAAAGCGUUUGUCAGUGCUGAGCUCUGCUGUAACCAGAAAAGUGCACCUUUCUUGGUGGAGAAACUGAUGUAAAAUGGGUGACCUGACUGCACUGUCACCAUCCAAGAAAAAAACUGCCAAGAUCAAGAUAUGUAAGCAAACUUUCAGAGAUGCUGCAGUUGAAUUAAACAGCAGGUAUGUAAAAUUGUCUAAACCUGGAAAUCUGAGUCUGAGAUUUCUCACGUUUUGGCCAAAGACUUUGCCUUUUCUGGGUGUGGGAUCUCAGCCAUGACUUAUGGCAAAAUUCUAAACUAGUGUGAGGCCUAAUCUAUUAAUACAAAGGAAGUGAGACUGAUAGCUUCAGCUGGCAGACACAAAAGAACAAAGUCUGAUAUGAAUGUGAUUAUUUAUUCAACAAGGCUUUGUUUUGCUUGUGUUUUUUAAUGUUCUAGACGGCUGUUUGUAUUUCCUGGCAGCAAAACCGAUUACCUUAGCAAAGAAGUAUGGGCUAACAGAGU